rnacentral:rRNA from 1 species
UACGUAGGGGGCGAGCGUUGUCCGGAGUUACUGGGCGUAAAGGGUGCGUAGGUGGCGCCGUAAGUCGGGUGUGAAAUUUCGGAGCUUAACUCCGAAACUGCAUUCGAUACUGCGGUGCUUGAGGACUGGAGAGGAGACUGGAAUUCAUGGUGUAGCAGUGAAAUGCGUAGAGAUCAUGAGGAAGACCAGUGGCGAAGGCGGGUCUCUGGACAGUUCCUGACACUGAGGCACGAAGGCCAGGGGAGCAAACGGG